UACAGAGGUCUCAAGCGUUGUUCGGAUUCAUUGGGCGUAAAGGGUGCGUAGGCGGCGCGGUAAGUCGGGUGUGAAAUCUCGGGGCUUAACUCCGAAACUGCAUUCGAUACUGCCGUGCUUGAGGACUGGAGAGGAGACUGGAAUUUACGGUGUAGCGGUGAAAUGCGUAGAUAUCGUAAGGAAGACCAGUGGCGAAGGCGGGUCUCUGGACAGUUCCUGACGCUGAGGCACGAAAGUCAGGGGAGCAAACGGG
rnacentral:rRNA from 1 species